UAGGGAAUCUUCGGCAAUGGACGAAAGUCUGACCGAGCAACGCCGCGUGAGUGAAGAAGGUUUUCGGAUCGUAAAACUCUGUUGUUAGAGAAGAACAAGGACGUUAGUAACUGAACGUCCCCUGACGGUAUCUAACCAGAAAGCCACGGCUAACUACGUGCCAGCAGCCGCGGUAAUACGUAGGUGGCAAGCGUUGUCCGGAUUUAUUGGGCGUAAAGCGAGCGCAGGCGGUUUCUUAAGUCUGAUGUGAAAGCCCCCGGCUCAACCGGGGAGGGUCAUUGGAAACUGGGAGACUUGAGUGCAGAAGAGAGGAGUGGAAUUCCAUGUGUAGCGGUGAAAUGCGUAGAUAUAUGGAGGAACACCAGUGGCGAAGGCGGCUCUCUGGUCUGUAACUGACGCUGAGGCUCGAAAGCGUGGGGAGCAAACAGG
rnacentral:rRNA from 1 species